CUCAGGAUGAACGCUAGCGGCAGGCCUAAUACAUGCAAGCCGGACGGCAAGUUGAGUAGCAAUACUGGCGGCGACCGGCGCACGGGUGCGUAACACGUAUGCAACCUACCUUCAACUGGAGGAUAGCCCGGGGAAACUCGGAUUAAUACUCCAUAACACAGGGGAUCCCGCAUGGGAAUAUUGUUAAAGCUACGGCGGUUGAAGAUGGGCAUGCGUUCGAUUAGCUAGUUGGUGUAGGUAACGGCUCACCAAGGCUACGAUCGAUAGGGGGUCUGAGAGGAUGAUCCCCCACACUGAUACUGAGAUACGGACCAGACUCCUACGGGAGGCAGCAGUAGGGAAUAUUGGUCAAUGGGCGCAAGCCUGAACCAGCCAUGCCGCGUGCAGGAAGAAGGCCCUCUGGGUUGUAAACUGCUUUUGAUAGGGAACAAAUGCCACUUGCGAGUGGAGCUGAGUGUACCUAUAGAAUAAGCACCGGCUAACUCCGUG
rnacentral:rRNA from 1 species